GGAGGACAUCUUGAUUGCUUCCACGUUUUGGCAAUUAUGAAAAAAGCUGCUACAAACAUCCAUAUGCAGAUUUUGUCAAGACAUAAGUUUUCAAUUCAUUUGGGAAAAUACCAAGGAGCGUGAUUGCUGGAUCAUAUGGUGGCGGUGUAGCACAAGUUUUGGAGUUCUCUUACCUGAGCUGCCUCUGGCUAUAUUUGAGAGCUGGCAUUUCCCGCCUCCACCGCCUCCAUCAGAGGUGUUGCCAGUGUUUUUGUUAUCUCUGCUUGUGCCUCCAGGGUUGCUGGUGCCUUUGCUGCUGGUUUUGCUGUGGUCACAUGCAUCACCACCAGGGUCACUGGGAUGGCAGGCACCUCUGCUGUGUCCAAGGUUGCCUGGGUCACUAACACUGCUGCUGUGGUUGAUGCAGGGGAGCCAAGGUCACUGGCACCUUCACUGCACCCAAGGUUG
rnacentral:lncRNA from 1 species